UAGGGAAUCUUGCGCAAUGGGCGAAAGCCUGACGCAGCAACGCCGCGUGGGGGAUGAAGGCCUUCGGGUUGUAAACUCCUUUCAGUGGGAACGAAAUUGACGGUACCCACAGAAGAAGCCCCGGCCAACUACGUGCCAGCAGCCGCGGUGAUACGUAGGGGGCGAGCGUUGUCCGGAUUUAUUGGGCGUAAAGAGCUCGUAGGCGGUUUGGUAAGUCGGGUGUGAAACCUCCAGGCUCAACCUGGAGACGCCACUCGAUACUGCCCUGACUAGAGUCCGGUAGGGGACCAUGGAAUUCCUGGUGUAGCGGUGAAAUGCGCAGAUAUCAGGAGGAACACCAGUAGCGAAGGCGGUGGUCUGGGCCGGAACUGACGCUGAGGAGCGAAAGCGUGGGGAGCGAACAGGAUUAGAUACCCUGGUAGUCCACGCCGUAAACGUUGGGCACUAGGUGUGGGGUCCUAUCGACGGAUUCCGUGCCGCAGCUAACGCAUUAAGUGCCCCGCCUGGGGAGU
rnacentral:rRNA from 1 species